AAACCACACAAGCUGCCACCAAACCAGGCUUUAUUUAUGGUACAGGGGCUACGGACAGCUACAAAGACAGGAACCAGUCCAAAACACCCGGGCUCGGGAGCAAGGGAAGAGCACAGCUGCAGGGGGGUCGCCCAGAGACACCGCUCCGGCUGGGCUGCGCCCCCCGGGCCGAAACUUCUGCAGGAGUCAGGACAUUUUAAGCCUUUCAUGUGUCAAGAGAUUCACACCCAGGCGGCAGCUCCCCCCGAUACUGCUGGCAGCGAGGGGGGUCCUCGACCAGCGCUCCCAGGAGGUAAGAUGGGUUCAAAGCGGAAGAGUGAACGGGGGCUCAGCCCCGGCGAGGGAGGCCGCGUCCCCACGUACCUGCGCAUACGCUUCUUUCGCCACUAGAGGAAGGAAAACGGAGAGGGAACGGGGUUAGGGUUUCAGCAUUGCGCCUCCGGCAGGCCCCUGCGUGAAGCCCCCACGUGGGGCCCGAGGCCAAGCAGCCCCCCACGGCCCAGGCACCGGCCUUGUCCCUCCGUCCCCCUGCGCCCAGAGACCCCCCACCCUCCUCCCGUAAUAACAGCGGUCUGUACAUCUCCUGACUUCUGGCACUGAGCAACUUUUUAAGCUUUCUCGGUCUUUAAUAUCAAGGGAGCUCCAAGGGCCAAGAACAACAGAUUCAAACAUUACUCCCCGAGGGCCCCUCCCGGAUACAGACCUCCCCGGUGCAUCCAGGGACCCCCCCCUCCACCUCCCCAGUGCACCCAAGGACCCCUGAAAAACCCAGACACACCCCUCUCCCCACCCCGAAUACCCCCCUCCACAACAGCCCCCCACGCCCGUGGGCCCAGGGACCCCCCCCGGCCCCGCGGCUCUCCCGGACACGCCGCCGCCUCCCCACACACGGCGCCGGGCCCAGCCGUUGUUGGGGGGGGGGGGGGGGGAGGGAGGGAGAGGCCCUAUCGCGCCCCCUCCCAGCCUCCGGCCGCCCCCCCGCGCCGCCAUCCGCCGCUCACCUUGGCCCUCAUGGCGGCGCGGGGGCGCCGCGCUCAGUCCCCGCGGGCGGGCGGCGGCGCGGGCGGCAGAUGGAAGCGGAUGGAGGCGGCCACCAAGCGCCCACAAGAUGGCGACGGCCGAGAGAGAGGCUACCACAACCCGCCGGGGCCUAUUUAUAGGGUAGCGCGGGGUGGGCGGGCACGCCACGGGGAAGCCACGC
rnacentral:lncRNA from 1 species